AAAAUUGUAGAGGGGAAUACCACUAGAUAAAAUAUAUUACAGUCUUUAUUUACAAAAUUAAGUCUAUAAACUAAGGCAUUGGAUGAAUAUCUUCCUUCAAAAGGAACAGCAGUAAGCUCUUAAUUUUUAAAAGGAAGAACCAGCAAGAUUGUCUCUCUACCUGUAAGAAGUGUAUAGAUUAAAAUGGCUUUAAAAAAAGAGAUGAAUUUAGGGAAGAUGAUUUUUCUUAAGCCUUAAAUUGGUAAGAAACUUUCAAUCAGCCUUAAUGUCCUAAGUUUCAAAAGUCAACUACUCUUGACCCUCUGUUGAUAAUUUAAUAGAACUGAUCAAUUCUGCAUAAUGAGGACUGGUGGCACAGAUGAUGUCAGUUAGUCAGCUCUACCCUGAUCACCAAAUCAUUUUAUUUCCUGAAGUCUGAUAAAUGGACAGGGAACAAAAGGGGGGAGGGGCAGGGGAAAGGAGGCUGAGAAAGCAUGAAUUCAGACAAAUUCCUUUCCCUUUUCUUAGAUGGAUAUUAUUUUAAUUAUUUAUAUUGUGCCAGUGAGAAAUGAAAAACCUAGGAAGACAAGCAAUGGAUAAACCACAAGGUGGAGGCUGACUUGACAUGCUGGCAUUUCCAUACUUCCACUUGACCAUCAGAAAACCCUCUGGUGGUCUGUGUGGAAUAAAUUCUAGAGCGUACUGUUACUUUCUUUUCUUGUAACUCAGGAGGGAACAUUCUUGUGUUCUAUUUAAGCAGGAAGAGAACAUUAAACCCAGGUCAUUUUGAAUAAGCCAUAGUUCUUAAUUACAUAGUUCAUUGAUACUGCUCUUGCUACAUUCAAUUCCAU